CUACCGGGCGACCGGAUGCGGAUCUCGAAAGCCUGUCCCAGUUCGGACUGGAGUCUGCAACCCGACUCCACGAAGUUGGAUUCGCUAGUAAUCGCGCAUCAGCCAUGGCGCGGUGAAUACGUUCCCGGGCCUUGUACACACCGCCCGUCAAGCCAUGGGAGCCGGGGGCGCCUGAAGUCCGGGACCGCGAGGACCGGCCUAGGGCGAAACUGGUAACUGGGGCUAAGUCGUAACAAGGUACC
rnacentral:rRNA from 1 species